UUAGUACUCCCUCCGUCCGAAAAUACUUGUCAUCAAAAUGGAUAGAAAAGGAUGUAUCUAGAACUAAAAUACAUCUAGAUACAUCCCCUUUUAUUCAUUUUGAUGACAAGUAUUUCCGGACGGAGGGAGUAGUAU
rfam:Triticum urartu cultivar G1812 contig868270, whole genome shotgun sequence.